AGAGGAAGUAAAGCUACAGUCCAUUUCAAUUCAGUAAUUAAACUCAAGUAGAAUUAAAAAAAAUUGCAAGCAAUUAUUAUUUGUCAUUAGUUGAAGCCGGGGGGGGGGGGAGAGGACGAGCAAUCGACGACUGCACGGUUUUCAAUUUGGCUCGCUGAAACCGAAUGAAUGACCCUACGGAGUGCGCAUCAAGAAAUGCACGAGGAACAAUUAAUUUCUGAAUGGGUAAAUCCAUUGAAGAUGUUGAUUGGUGCAGCGAUUAUGAGAAUCUAAAGAGUAGCAGAACCAAAGGAAUUGUGGUUGUUGUUACCCACAUCGAUAUGCAAGGAGGGGGUAGAGGGCAGCCGGUCUGGUCUGGAUUGUGGAAACAUCAAAUUGACACUUGAGUGACGACGCCGACGACUACGACGUCGUCAAAUCGAUUUAAGCAUAACAACAAAAUAGGGGCGCGAUAAGGAGUGAACUCAAACGAAACGGAGACUGCAGCAAGUAUUGCUGCUAUCUCGCUUGUUGUUGCAAAAACACGACGACAUCAGCAGCAACAAUGACUCCUCGUACCUUCAAAAAGAUUUUUCAUAUUGUAUUUAGUAUUUUGUUGUUGUUGCCGCGGGACUACUGUACUAUUAAACGCUAUUUUGCAAUCUGCAACACAGAA